rnacentral:rRNA from 1 species
CCUACGGGUGGCAGCAGUGGGGAAUCUUGCACAAUGGGGGAAACCCUGAUGCAGCGACGCCGCGUGAGCGAUGAAGCCCUUCGGGGUGUAAAGCUCUUUCGACGGGAACGAUUAUGACGGUACCCGAAGAAGAAGCUGCGGCUAACUACGUGCCAGCAGCCGCGGUAAUACGUAGGCAGCAAGCGUUGUUCGGAAUUACUGGGCGUAAAGAGUGCGUAGGUGGUGCUCUAAGUUUGGUGUGAAAUCUCCCGGCUUAACUGGGAGGGUGCGCCGAAAACUGGAGUGCUUGAGUAUGGGAGAGGUAAGCGGAAUUCCUGGUGUAGCGGUGAAAUGCGUAGAUAUCAGGAGGAACACCCGUGGUGUAGACAGCUUACUGGACCAUUACUGACACUGAGGCACGAAAGCGUGGGUAGCAAACAGGAUUAGAUACCCCAGUAGUC